AUUGAACGCUGGCGGCAGGCUUAACACAUGCAAGUCGAGCGGAUGACGGGAGCUUGCUCCUUGAUUCAGCGGCGGACGGGUGAGUAAUGCCUAGGAAUCUGCCUGGUAGUGGGGGACAACGUUUCGAAAGGAACGCUAAUACCGCAUACGUCCUACGGGAGAAAGCAGGGGACCUUCGGGCCUUGCGCUAUCAGAUGAGCCUAGGUCGGAUUAGCUUGUUGGUGAGGUAAUGGCUCACCAAGGCGACGAUCCGUAACUGGUCUGAGAGGAUGAUCAGUCACAAUGGAACUGAGACACGGUCCAGACUCCUACGGGAGGCAGCAGUGGGGAAUAUUGGACAAUGGGCGAAAGCCUGAUCCAGCCAUGCCGCGUGUGUGAAGAAGGUCUUCAGAUUGUAAAGCACUUUAAGUUGGGAGGAAGGGUUGUAGAUUAAUACUCUGCAAUUUUGACGUUACCGACAGAAUAAGCACCGGCUAACUCUGUGCCAGCCGCCGCAGUAAAAC
rnacentral:rRNA from 1 species